rnacentral:rRNA from 1 species
GACGAACGCUGGCGGCGUGCUUAACACAUGCAAGUCGAACGGAAAGGCCCUUCGGGGUACUCGAGUGGCGAACGGGUGAGUAACACGUGGGUGAUCUGCCCUGCACUUUGGGAUAAGCCUGGGAAACUGGGUCUAAUACCGAAUAGGACCACGCGCUUCAUGGUGUGUGGUGGAAAGCUUUUGCGGUGUGGGAUGGGCCCGCGGCCUAUCAGCUUGUUGGUGGGGUAAUGGCCUACCAAGGCGACGACGGGUAGCCGGCCUGAGAGGGUGACCGGCCACACUGGGACUGAGAUACGGCCCAGACUCCUACGGGAGGCAGCAGUGGGGAAUAUUGCACAAUGGGCGGAAGCCUGAUGCAGCGACGCCGCGUGAGGGAUGACGGCCUUCGGGUUGUAAACCGCUUUCAAUAGGGACGAAGCGUAAGUGACGGUAACGAUAGAAGAAGCACCGGCCAACUACGUG